GGAUGAACGCUGGCGGCGUGCCUAAUACAUGCAAGUCGAGCGAACAGACGAGGAGCUUGCUCCUCUGACGUUAGCGGCGGACGGGUGAGUAACACGUGGAUAACCUACCUAUAAGACUGGGAUAACUUCGGGAAACCGGAGCUAAUACCGGAUAAUAUAUUGAACCGCAUGGUUCAAUAGUGAAAGACGGUUUUGCUGUCACUUAUAGAUGGAUCUGCGCCGCAUUAGCUAGUUGGUAAGGUAACGGCUUACCAAGGCGAAGAUGCGUAGCCGACCUGAGAGGGUGAUCGGCCACACUGGAACUGAGACACGGUCCAGACUCCUACGGGAGGCAGCAGUAGGGAAUCUUCCGCAAUGGGCGAAAGCCUGACGGAGCAACGCCGCGUGAGUGAUGAAGGUCUUCGGAUCGUAAAACUCUGUUAUUAGGGAAGAACAAAUGUGUAAGUAACUAUGCACGUCUUGACGGUACCUAAUCAGAAAGCCACGGCUAACUACGUG
rnacentral:rRNA from 1 species